GACGAUGUCUCACAGAGGGCGCUGUUGUUGAAGCAGCAGAGUUUGCAGAAGAACAUUUUGGAAGAAAGCUAGCUCAGACCAAAACACAAAAACCCACAGCCUUUGUGGCACCCGUGGACACCAGGUUUAUUGUCACACUGGAUGGGGUGAACCCUGACCGGUUUGAAGCCGAUAAAGAAGUCGGGGGAGGUGACAUGGAGGUCUCAAAUGAAAUCCCAAAGAAGGCUAAUCUACAUUCAGCGCCGGAAGUGAAGCCAAUCACAUUUAGCCUGAAAGAUACAGAUGAUGAAGAAGAGGAAGAAGUUCUACCAUCAAAAGCGGCCAAAUUGUCUGAGAAAUGCCGGUUCUGGCCAGCGUGCGUCAAUGGCAACGCUUGUCUCUACCAUCAUCCCACAAUGCCUUGCAA